rnacentral:rRNA from 1 species
UACAGAGGGUGCUAGCGUUGUUCGGAAUCAUUGGGCGUAAAGGGCGUGUAGGCGGUUUGUUAAGUCAUGUGUGAAAUCCCUCGGCUCAACCGGGGAACGACGCAUGAAACUGGCAAGCUAGAGUACCAAAGAGGGGGGUGGAAUUCCCGGUGUAGCGGUGAAAUGCGUAGAUAUCUGGAGGAACACCGGUGGCGAAGGCGGCAUCCUGGACCGGCAUUGACGCUGAGGCGCGAAAGCCAGGGGAGCAGACGGG